rnacentral:tRNA from 1 species
CAGAAAAUAGUUUAGUGAAAAUGUCAGCUUUGGGAGCUGGAGAUGGAGGUUUGAAUCCUUUUUUUCUGA